AGUGAACGCUGGCGGUAGGCCUAACACAUGCAAGUCGAACGGCAGCACAGUAAGAGCUUGCUCUUACGGGUGGCGAGUGGCGGACGGGUGAGGAAUACAUCGGAAUCUACUUUUUCGUGGGGGAUAACGUAGGGAAACUUACGCUAAUACCGCAUACGACCUACGGGUGAAAGCAGGGGAUCUUCGGACCUUGCGCGAUUGAAUGAGCCGAUGUCGGAUUAGCUAGUUGGCGGGGUAAAGGCCCACCAAGGCGACGAUCCGUAGCUGGUCUGAGAGGAUGAUCAGCCACACUGGAACUGAGACACGGUCCAGACUCCUACGGGAGGCAGCAGUGGGGAAUAUUGGACAAUGGGCGCAAGCCUGAUCCAGCCAUACCGCGUGGGUGAAGAAGGCCUUCGGGUUGUAAAGCCCUUUUGUUGGGAAAGAAAAGCAGCAGGUUAAGACCCCGCUGUUCUGACGGGACCCAAAGAAUAAGCACCGGCUAAUUUCGU
rnacentral:rRNA from 1 species